CUAAUACAUGCAAGUCGAACGGUAACAGGCCCGGCAACGGGUGCUGACGAGUGGCGCACGGGUGCGUAACACGUAUGCAACCUACCCUGUACUGGGGGAUAACCCUGAGAAAUCGGGGCUAAUACCCCAUGGUAAUAUAGAUGGGCAUCCAUUUAUAUUUAAAGAUUCAUUGGUACGGGAUGGGCAUGCGCCCCAUUAGUUAGUUGGUGAGGUAACGGCUCACCAAGGCAUUGAUGGGUAGGGGUUCUGAGAGGAUUACCCCCCACACUGGUACUGAGACACGGCCCAGACUCCUACGGGAGGCAGCAGUGAGGAAUUUUCCGCAAUGGACGAAAGCCUGACGGAGCAAUACCGCGUGAAGGACGACGGCCUAUGGGUUGUAAACUUCUUUUCUCAGAAAAGAAUACAUGACGGUAUCUGAGGAAUAAGCAUCGGCUAACUCUGUGCCAGCAGCCGCGGUAAGACAGAGGAUGCAAGCGUUAUCCGGAAUGAUUGGGCGUAAAGCGUCUGUAGGUGGCCCGACAAGUCUUCUGUCAAAGAUCAGGGCUUAACCCUGGAAAGGCAGGAGAAACUAUCAGGCUAGAGAUCGGUAGAGGCAGAGGGAAUUCCCAGUGAAACGGUGAAAUGUGUAGAUAUUGGGAGGAACACCAACGGCGAAAGCACUCUGCUGGGCCGAGACUGACACUGAGAGACGAAAGCGAGGGGAGCAAAUGGGAUUAGAUACCCCAGUAGUCCUCGCCGUAAACGAUGGAUACUAGGUGUUGGAU
rnacentral:rRNA from 1 species